AGUUCAAAACAGCAAAAGUAAAUGACUUGUAGAGCUUGGAUUAGCAUCAGAUGCAAUGACAAGUAACGGCACACGAGCAAACAGGAAAUUGAAUGGCAAAGCCAGAGGGGCAUCAGUGAACGUGCCAGGCUGCAAAGACUUCCUCAGAGGGAGGCACGAAAAGAAAGCAAAAUGCUGUCCAAGAUGCAAAUCUUUCUUCCUGUGCCUUCUGACAUGCUGAGACUGGAAUUUCACAGUAAUUUUAACUAGGUUUGGAUACUGCUGGAGAAGAUGGUACUGCCCUUAUCUAACUCCCUUUCACUCUCCAGCCACUCAGUCCUCCCUUCUUUACGUUGUUGCUUGUGUUUGUGAAUUACUGGGGACUUUUUUUCUCUUUUAAGCUACUUAAGUGACAGCUUAAUUCCACAGACUGCUACAGUCGGUUGUAGUUUGACACAGUUGCAGUAUGUGCAAUGUAUGACACCCAAAAUUUCUCUGAUUACUUCAGACAGCUUGUUAGCGAUGAUUGCCAGUAGGAUUUCUGGGCCUGUCCCAAUCAAAGUCAAAGGAAGAGCACCAGAAUGAUUCUUUCUGUUGGAAAAUAUCCUUGCCAUGCAUGGCUGUUAUCAACAUCUCAAGUAAUCAAGUAAUAUAGUAGCAGCAAAACCAAUAUAAAAUAGAAUUAAUAAUGAAAAUGUCUGAAGCUCUGAGAUAUGAAUUUACCUACCUUUAGCAUUUAUACAUUCUGAAUAUAAUGGUAAGCCACAGUAUUAUUAGAGAAGUACUGCAGAUCUGUUGCUAUUGAAGAAACAUCAGCUCGG
rnacentral:lncRNA from 1 species